ensembl:lncRNA
GUUCGUCUGUGAAAACAGAACGAUGGAAAACAUUGUUAUAAUAAUUAAAGGGAGCAUCUGUUUUUUUUUUGUUGUUGUUUUUUUUUUUAGUAUUUACUUUCUGCUCUGGCAUUCUUACAGUACACUUUCUGUCGCAUAAUUUUGCAACGGCAAACAGGGUCAAAGUUAUGCAAUAAUGAUGAGUGCCUAAUAUAUUAUACAAGAAGCACAUGCAGAAAGGCAAAAGAUGCCAUAAGCACAAAAGUGCAUCCGGUACCAAUACACCUGUACAUAUGAUCCAAACUAACGUACAGAAACAAGCCUGUUUGUAAUGCACUGAGCCUUACGGACCUUUCGAAAGACAACAUUUUUAAAUGAAAGCUGUGAACAUCUGCCCAUUAAUCACUUAGUGAGCAAUGCUGUCUGCAACUCCUUGGGAGGAUUUGGAUGGAGAUAUAUAUAUAUAUAUAUAUAUAUAUAUAUAUAUAUAUAUAUAUAUAUAUAUAUAUAUAUAUAUAUAAACCUUACACUUAAAAUAUCAUCGUGACUGAAGGACACAGCUUCUCUGUUAUUAAGGUUGACUUUUACCUCUUUGAUAUCACACAGUGAAAUUUGAGUACAUGUAUGAGGCACCCUUACAGCUCAAUUUGGUGCCUACAGAGUGGACCUACAGCACAAAAAGACAAUGUCGCUUCGUUAAUUCCUCCGUGAACGCUCGUUUCUGAUUUGUAUUCAACUUCUUCUGUACAGUAUUGCCUCAGUUUCAAUAUCAACUUGGUUUCUUAAUCUAAAUAUUUACUUUAUUUUGUCUCCCCCCCCCCUCCCCCCCCCGAUAUUCUGUGAGUAUCGUUCUUGUAUUUAUGUAUAGUGUACGUGAUUAUGUGUAAAUAUAUAUUUCAGAGCUUUUCAUUUAACUGCAGAGUCGAGUGACAUGUUGCCCUGCUUUUGUUUCAAAAGGGAAUCCCUUCACACUGAAUCCUAUCACAGAAUGUCUUCGUUUCAAAUCAAAAGAAAAGUUGUUUUUUUAUUCUUUAUUUGAAAUUCUCCAGAAGGUGUCUAGAUAUGAUGUGCUUGUUUUUUUUUUUUUUCUCUGUAUUUUUUUUGUUGUUGUUGUUGUUAUUUUUUUUUUUUUUUUUUUUAUUCCCUAAAGAUUGAGCUGUGAAUUUUAAUUUUUUUUUGAGUUUUAACAUGAUACUUGUAUGAUAAUCU